GGGAAGGAGGAGGAAUAGAACCUGUAAAUGUUGAGGGAACUGUGGAUGAUUGGCCUUCAAAACAACCACACUGGUGAGAGAGAGAGAGAGAGAGAGGGGCUAGCGAUAGAGGGAAGCUGAAUAGUCUACCGUGAGGCAUGGCUUCUACUGAAAUGGAUCUACCUGCUACCAUGAAAUUUUGGAAUUGGAUUUAUACUUAUGACAGAGAAAGUGAGUUCUUCGGGACUCAUCUACGGGGGAUGUUCGAUGGUUCUCACAAGACUGGCAAAAGAGUUCAGUUUCAGAUGCGUCCUUGAUUUGUUUCUGAGCUUCUCUAUUUUACUUUCUGGGAUCUUCUGGUUCCUUCCUUACCAUGCAAUGGAGUCUGGGUUCGAUGCAACAGAGGCAGUUAGGCUCAGUGGUAAAUCUUUUUCCUUUUUAAUUUUCACUCUAUUUUUUAUUUUUAUUUUUUGAUUUAAUUAGGGUUUUCUGAUGUUUUGAACAGAUGGGUAUUUGAAAUUUUUGCAUAUUGGUAUUUAAUAGUGUGGUGUGUUACUUUGGAUUGUAAUGGGAUUCUUAGAAAUGGUGGUGUAAAGUUCCAUUUCUUCGAAUCUUUCUUUUCACAUUCUCGGCCAUUUUUUUUACCUUAAUGUUUUUUAUCACUUUCUUUCCUUUUUUCUUACGAUUUUGGUUUUCUUUUGUUAUUUCCAAUUUAUCUUCAAUGGUCUAAUUAUUAUUUUUUUCUUUCUGA